CCAGCAGCCGCGGUAAUUCCAGCUCUAAUAGCGUAUAUUACAGUUGUUGCAGUUAAAAAGCUCGUAGUCGGAAGUCGGGCUCGGGCAGGCUGUCGGCCUCGGUUGGGCAGCUUGCUUGGGUCUUCUAGCUCGGGGGCCCCGUGCCAUUUAACCGUGGUGCGCGGGAACACGGGCCGUUUACUUUGAAAAAAUUAGAGUGUUCAAAGCAGGCCUACGCUUGAAUACAUUAGCAUGGAAUAAUGGAAUAGGACUUUUGUCCAUUUGGUUGGUUAUUGGACAUGAGUAAUGAUUAACAGGGACAGUUGGGGGCAUUAGUAUUUAAUUGUCAGAGGUGAAAUUCUUGGAUUUAUUAAAGACUAACUUAUGCGAAAGCAUUUGCCAAGGAUGUUUUCA
rnacentral:rRNA from 1 species